rnacentral:rRNA from 1 species
GAUCAUGGCUCAGGAUGAACGCUAGCUACAGGCUUAACACAUGCAAGUCGAGGGGCAUCAGGGUGUAGCAAUACACCGCUGGCGACCGGCGCACGGGGUGAGUAACACGGUAUCCAACCUGCCCUUUACUCGGGGAUAGCCUUUCGAAAGAAAGAUUAAUACCCGAUGGCAUAACAUGGACCUCCUGGUUUUGUUAUUUAAAGAAUUUCGGUAGAGGAUGGGGAUGCGUUCCAUUAGGCAGUUGGCGGGUAACCGG